AGGCUGCCCGCUGCGAUGCCUGCUAGAAAUCCAGCCGCGUUCUUACCACGGACGCUCCUAAAGGCGGAAGUGGAAACUCCUAAGGCACGGCACCACCGGAGCCACCUCUUUAGUGGGAGGAGUUGCACAUGCGCACAGAAGUCGAGCGGAGCGCUUAAAUACCGUCAUGCGGCCACCGCCGGCCUUUUCCCCUGCCGCCGCCGACUUGCGCGGAGGCGGAAGCUCGGGUGCGUUCAAGAUUCGGCGUCACCCGUGAUUCACCGCCAUGGCCGAGGAAGGCAUAGCUGCUGGAGGUGUAAUGGACGUCAACACUGCUCUACAAGAGGUGCUGAAGACCGCCCUCAUCCACGAUGGCCUAGCACGUGGCAUACGCGAAGCUGCCAAAGCCUUAGACAAGUACGUGUCUCAGUCUCAAUACUGUGGGGUGUUGCAGCCGGAACAAAGACUGCAGCAGCCAAGGGAAGAGAGCGUGAAGUUCAUGCUGUUAGCACAAAAGUUCUGAAUGUCAUCCGGCCAGCAGGAAACCUAGGAAAAGGCGCCAAGCCCAUCUGUGUGUGCUCGCAUCCAACUGUGAUGAGCCCAUGUAUGUCAAGCUGGUGGAGGCACUUUGUGCUGAGCACCAAAUCAACCUGAUAAAGGUUGAUGACAACAAGAAACUAGGGGAAUGGGUAGGCCUCUGUAAAAUCGAUCGAGAGGGCAAACCACGGAAGGUGGUUGGUUGCAGUUGCGUAGUGGUUAAGGACUAUGGCAAAGAAUCUCAGGCCAAGGAUGUCAUCGAGGAAUACUUCAAGUGCAAGAAAUAAAUAAAUUUUGGCUGAUUUUUCUCUUGUA